rnacentral:rRNA from 1 species
AGAAGCAUAGAAGAGCGCUUGGAGGAUGCCUAGGCGUCAAGAGCCGAAGAAGGACGCGGUACACUGCGAAAAGCCUCGGUAAGUCGUGUGCAGACGAAGAACCGGGGGUAUCCGAAUGGGGAAACCCGUACCGGAGGAGCCGGUACACCAGCAACUGAACACAUAGGUUGCUGGGGGGCACGCGGGGAACUGAAACAUCUUAGUACCCGCAGGAAGAGAGACUAUUCCCUGAGUAGUGGCGAGCGAAAGGGGAGAAGCCCAAACCACGCUUGUGUGAUAGACUGCGGUCGUUGCAAGGGUGGGGUUGAAGGAAGUAGCGUGCAGUUCCGCAGAACUGCGGGGGAGUGAGAAACGAAUCCGUUAGUCGAAGGACACUGGAAAGGUCCGCCAAAGGAGGUGAAAGCCCUGUAGGCGAAAACGGAGUCGCUCCCGCUAUUCUCCUGAGUACCACGGGACACGAGGAACCUUGUGGGAAGCAGGGCCGACCACGGCCCAAGGCUAAAUACUCUUGACGACCGAUAGCGAACCAGUACCGUGAGGGAAAGGUGAAAAGAACCCCGGCGAGGGGAGUGAAAGAGAACCUGAAACCGAGCGCUUACAAGCGGUCAAAGGGCUAUGGGGCGAUCCGAGGAUUGCUUCAAGCCUGAUGGCGUGCCUUUUGGAGAAUGAGCCAGCGAGUUACUUUCUGUUGCGAGGUUAAGGCAGAGACAGCCGGAGCCGCAGGGAAACCGAGUCUGAAGAGGGCGCGGGGCGAUGCAAGACAUCGCCUGUAGUAGCAGGGAGUAGGCACGAAACCAGGUGAGCUACCCAUGUCCAGGCUGAAGCGGAGCUAAUCCUCCGUGGAGGGCCGAACCUUUCACCGUUGCAAAGGUGUGGGAUGAGGUGUGGGUAGGGGUGAUAUGCCAAACGAACUUGGAGAUAGCUUGUUCUCCCCGAAAUAGCUUUAGGGCUAGCCUCGGGGGAUGAGUGAGGGAGGUAGAGCACUGGAUGGGCUAGGGGGCGCAAGCCUACCAAACCCAACCAAACUCCGAAUGCCCUCACUAGCGAACCCGGGAGUCGGACUACGAAUGAUGAGAUCCGUAGUCGAGAGGGAAAGAGCCCAGACCGUCGGCUAAGGUCCCCAAGUGUAAGCUAAGUGGGAAACGAUGUGGGAUUGCAGAGACAGCCAGGAGGUUGGCUUAGAAGCAGCCACCCUUUAAAGAGUGCGUAAUAGCUCACUGGUCAAGCGAUUCUGCGCGGAAAAUGUAACGGGGCUCAAGCUUACCACCGAAGCCACGGAGACCCGAACGGGAGUUGGGGUCUGGUAGGGGAGCGUCGUGUGAUCGUAGAAGCCGUACCGUAAGGAGCGGUGGAGGUCACAGGAGUGAGAAUGCUGGCAUGAGUAGCGAGAAAUACGUGAGAACCGUAUUCGCCGAAAGCCCAAGGGUUCCGACGGAAGGUCAGUCCGCGUCGGGUCAGUCGGGCCUAAGCCGAGGCUGAGAAGCGUAGGCGAUGGACAUCCGGUUAAUAUUCCGGAACCACCUAGGCAGAGUGAAGGGGAGACGCAGAGGGGUAGGUCAACCCCCCGGAUGGAAGAGGGGGGCCAAACGUGUAGACCGGCGAGGGGUGUAGGGAAAUCCGCACCCGGAGGUCGAGGCGUGAAGGGGACGCAAAUGCGCGGAAGUGACUGAUCCCAGCUGUCAAGAAAAGCCUCUAAACGAUGAAGCUUAGGUGCCCGUACCGCAAACCGACACUGGUGGGCAAGUAGAGGAUACUAAGGCGAACGGGAGAACCUUCGUCAAGGAAUUAGGCAAAUUAACCCCGUAACUUCGGGAGAAGGGGUGCCCCCGGGCGUGAGGGAUGAACAUUCGGAGCGUUUGGGGGUCGCAGUGAAAGGGCUCUAGCGACUGGUUACCAAAACCACAGGUCUCUGCGAACGCGCAAGCGGAAGUAUAGGGGCUGACACCUGCCCAGUGCCGGAAGGUUAAGGGGAGGGGUUAGACGCAAGUCGAAGCUCAGAACCGAAGCCCCGGUGAACGGCGGCCGUAACUAUAACGGUCCUAAGGUAGCGAAAUUCCUUGUCGGGUAAGUUCCGACCCGCACGAAUGGUGUAACGACUAGAGCACUGUCUCAACGAAGGACCCGGCGAAAUUGAAGACGCGGUAAAGAUGCCGUGUACCCGCAGCAGGACAAAAAGACCCCGUGGAGCUUUACUGCAACUUGGCACUGAGUUAGGGUUUAGUUUGUGUAGGAUAGGUGGGAGGCAAAGAAGCUGGGACGCCAGUCUCGGUGGAGCCGCCAGUGAAAUACCACCCUGACUCAAUCUUGACUCUAACCCGCCGCCGUGAACCGGCGCGGGGACCGUGCCAGGCGGGCAGUUUGACUGGGGUGGUCGCCUCCUAAAAGGUAACGGAGGCGCCCAAAGGUUCCCUCAGGUGGAAUGGAAACCCACCACAGAGUGCAAAGGCAUAAGGGAGCUUGACUGCGAGGCUGACGGGCCGAGCAGAGACGAAAGUCGGGCUUAGUCAUCCCACGGUACCGAGUGGAAGGGCCGUGGCUAUCGGAUAAAAGCUACCCCGGGGAUAACAGGGUGGUAGGGCCCAAGAGUUCACAUCGACGGCCCUGGUCGCCACCUCGAUGUCGGCUCAGCACAUCCUGGGGCUGGACAAGGUCCCAAGGGUUGGACUGUUCGUCCAUUAAAGUGUUACGCGAGCUGGGUUCAGACCGUCGUGAGACAGGUCGGUCUCUAUCCGCUGUGGGCGUUGGGGACUUGCGGGGAGCUGCCCUCAGUACGAGAGGACCAGGGUGGACGGACCGCUGGUGUGUCAGUUGUAUCGCCCGAUGCACCGCUGAGUAGCUAGGUCCGGCAAGGAUAACCGCUGAAAGCAUCUAAGUGGGAAACCUGCCCCAAGAUGAGGUCCCCCAUCCGACUUCGGUCGGAGUAAGGCCGCUGGAAGACGACCAGUUCGAUAGGCCGGACGUGGACGCGCAGCAAUGCGUGCAGCGAACCGGUACUAACGGCCGAGGGCUUCUACCU